UACGAAGGGGGCUAGCGUUGUUCGGAAUCACUGGGCGUAAAGCGCACGUAGGCGGACUUUCAAGUCAGGGGUGAAAUCCCGGGGCUCAACCUCGGAACUGCCUCUGAUACUGUAGGUCUCGAGCCCGGAAGAGGUGGGUGGAAUUCCUAGUGUAGAGGUGAAAUUCGUAGAUAUUAGGAAGAACACCAGUGGCGAAGGCGGCCCACUGGUCCGGUGCUGACGCUGAGGUGCGAAAGCGUGGGGAG
rnacentral:rRNA from 1 species